rnacentral:rRNA from 1 species
UGGGGAAUCUUGCGCAAUGGGCGAAAGCCUGACGCAGCAACGCCGCGUGAGUGAUGAAGGUCUUCGGAUCGUAAAGCUCUUUCGGCAGGGAAGAACGGCUUCCGGGUGAACAAUCCGGGGGCGUGACGGUACCUGCAGAAGAAGCACCGGCUAACUCUGUGCCAGCAGCCGCGGUAAUACAGAGGGUGCAAGCGUUGUUCGGAAUUAUUGGGCGUAAAGCGCGUGUAGGCGGGAUGGCAAGUCGGGUGUGAAAGCCCUCAGCUCAACUGAGGAAGUGCGCCCGAAACUACCGUUCUUGAGUGCCAGAGAGGGUGGCGGAAUUCCCGGUGUAGAGGUGAAAUUCGUAGAUAUCGGGAGGAACACCAGUGGCGAAGGCGGCCACCUGGAUGGACACUGACGCUGAGACGCGAAAGCGUGGGGAGCAAACAGG